UUAAUUUUCAGUUUUCUUUUAAUUUUUAUUCAUUCUUGUUCCAAGCCAUAUAGAGCAUUGAUGAUAUAUUCCAGACAUAGUUAUCUUAAAUCCACGUGUUCAAGUUUUAAUUUCACCAUUAUUAUGAAUGAACAUCUGGAGAAAAAUUAGUUUAUUACAGGAUCAUGACGAGAAUAGUGUGACAAUGCUCAACGUCCCAGAAAGAUUGGAAAGGGAUCUUGUACAGACUCUGAAGUUAAGGAGAGUGACUGGAAAGCUGAGAAACAUGAUGGGCUGAUGGUUCCAAGAGAAGUGCCCACUAGAAAAUGGAUUGAAAUUGAUGUUUCUUGAAUCUGUAGAGAAGAAGGGGAGGAUGGUGCGAUAUGCCUUCUGAGGCUCAAAGAUGGCUAAUUCCUGAUAUGAAUAUGCUUUGGGUGGAGAUCCACAGUUAAAGGAUUGAUGAGAGAACAGGAUUGCAUUAAGUUGAGCUGGAAAAAUUGUUGGUGGAUAGAAUAGAGAAUCCAAGGAAGAUAUUGAUCAUUUAAUGCUCAGGAAAAUCUUUCAGAGCUUACCGUGGCAGACAGGAGUAGACAAACAAAAGGACACAUGAAAGCAAAGCAAUAGAUGUUUUUUCCUUUUCUGAAAAGAGAGAGAAGUGAAGAUUCUACUUGAUCUAAUUUGUUUUUCACUGGAUAAAUUUUUAGGAUGCCCUUUUCUUGAUGGUAGAUUAUCUGUUA